AACGCCGCGUGAGUGAAGAAGGGUUUCGGCUCGUAAAGCUCUGUUGGUAGUGAAGAAAGAUAGAGGUAGUAACUGGCCUUUAUUUGACGGUAAUUACUUAGAAAGUCACGGCUAACUACGUGCCAGCAGCCGCGGUAAUACGUAGGUGGCAAGCGUUGUCCGGAUUUAUUGGGCGUAAAGCGAGUGCAGGCGGUUCAAUAAGUCUGAUGUGAAAGCCUUCGGCUCAACCGGAGAAUUGCAUCAGAAACUGUUGAACUUGAGUGCAGAAGAGGAGAGUGGAACUCCAUGUGUAGCGGUGGAAUGCGUAGAUAUAUGGAAGAACACCAGUGGCGAAGGCGGCUCUCUGGUCUGCAACUGACGCUGAGGCUCGAAAGCAUGGGUAGCGAACAGGAUUAGAUACCCUGGUAGUCCAUGCCGUAAACGAUGAGUGCUAAGUGUUGGGAGGUUUCCGCCUCUCAGUGCUGCAGCUAACGCAUUAAGCACUCCGCCUGGGGAGUACGACCGCAAGGUUGAAACUCAAAGGAAUUGACGGGGGCCCGCACAAGCGGUGGAGCAUGUGGUUUAAUUCGAAGCAACGCGAAGAACCUUACCAGGUCUUGACAUCCAGUGCAAACCUAAGAGAUUAGGUGUGCCCUUCGGGGACGCUGAGACAGGUGGUGCAUGGCUGUCGUCAGCUCGUGU
rnacentral:rRNA from 1 species